ACGCCUCUUAGAGGAUCUUUCAAUGGAAAAGAAGUUUUUUGAAACUAUGUAGAGAACAAAAUAACUUGACAUGGAACCGAAGCCUCCAUAAUUGGUACCUCAUUGGAGUGCACAACCGAUUUAGGUCUUAUACUGAGUAAAGGGCCCAUAUCAAGAUCUGGAUUGGAUGUCCCCAUAAUUGGGUCCAAUUGGCCCUUCGCUUCAAGAUCACCCAAAUG
rnacentral:lncRNA from 1 species